rnacentral:pre_miRNA from 1 species
GGAAGAGCCCGAUCCGAAGCCCAUUGAAAUCAUUGGGAGUCUUUUCAGUGGUGUCCAUGGGCUUUGGAUCGGGCCUGAAUGCC